CCAGGGAAUGGUGAAUCGUAGCUUGAUAGGAAGGGAGGUGUCCAUUGUCCUGCUGAGCACCAGAAUCUUCUGGGCAUUCCAAGUUCUACUAGUGCAUGCUUCCCAGAUUGAAGCCCUUGCCCCACCAGCUCAAAGUGCAUCACAUAUAAUAACUCAAUUAUCCUUCUAACACCUUGUGAGGAAUGCCAUACUUACUUAUCUUUUGGUGCUGGACCGUUUUAAUACAUACUGUCGUCAUAUUUUUUAAGUGUAUGUCUGAAGAUAGAAAUGUCCUUUCAAAAAAGAGCAAAGAUGGCUGGGAAUCUCAGGAUUCCAACAAAAGCCUGUAGGUGUGGCGCCAGUUGUGUGUCAUUUGUUUUCACCGGCAGUGCUUUGAGGCAUUGAGUUAAAAUGAAAUGUCCAGUGGAAGACUGUGAAGGAGGAAGAAUGGAGAUAGUUUGAUUUUUAUCAAUAAAAUUAAAACUUAUUGACAGCAAUAAAGUUGUACCAGAUUGAGCAUUAAUGCAAGUUGUUGUGAUUGUAGCUUUACUUUGCAGUAAGCAAUUGUGGUGUCUUUGAACAUAUCCAGAUAUAUAGGUAACAUUCCUUAAGCACACUUACCUGAGAGUAAGUUCCAGGUUUGAGUAAACAUGCAUAGGAUUACACAGCACAAGAAAG